rnacentral:rRNA from 1 species
CUACGGGGGGCAGCAGUGAGGAAUAUUGCACAAUGGGGGGAACCCUGAUGCAGCAACGCCGCGUGGAGGAUGACGCAUUUCGGUGUGUAAACUCCUUUUAUAUGUCAAGAAAAUGACGGUAGCAUAUGAAUAAGCACCGGCUAACUCCGUGCCAGCAGCCGCGGUAAUACGGAGGGUGCAAGCGUUACUCGGAAUCACUGGGCGUAAAGGACGCGUAGGCGGGCUUGUAAGUCAGGUGUGAAAUCCUACAGCUUAACUGUAGAACUGCACUUGAAACUACGAGCCUAGAGUAUGGGAGGGGCAGAUGGAAUUAGUGGUGUAGGGGUAAAAUCCGUAGAUAUCACUAGGAAUACCUAAAGCGAAGGCGAUCUGCUGGAACAUAACUGACGCUAAGGCGUGAAAGCGUGGGGAGCAAACAGGAUUAGAUACCCUAGUAGUC